GUUACCUGUCCUGCCUGCAAGUUCUUCUUGCAUUAAAAGACAUAGUACCUCCAGAGGUGCUUUCUGAGGAUGACGAGAUUUAUGUCUAUAGGAUCCUGGAGCUGGUUGACCUGCGUGUGACAGAUGGGGCGCUGGACCUUCGUCUGUUUGCUGUUGUGGCGAGCCUGGCCGAGAAAGUGGCCACAUUCGAUGACUUUAUGCAUUCCCUCAUCAGCAAGAUGGACUUCAAAUCCCUGGAGAUGAAGCUGCACAAAGCCAAGG
rnacentral:lncRNA from 1 species